rnacentral:tRNA from 1 species
GCCUGGCUGGCUCAGUCAGAAGAGCACGAGACUCUUGAUCUCAGGAUUGUGAGUUCAAGCCCCACACUGGGUG